rnacentral:rRNA from 1 species
AACGAACGCUGGCGGCAUGCCUAACACAUGCAAGUCGAACGAUCCCUUCGGGGAUAGUGGCGCACGGGUGCGUAACGCGUGGGAACCUGCCCUUAGGUUCGGAAUAACUCAGAGAAAUUUGAGCUAAUACCGGAUAAUGUCUUCGGACCAAAGAUUUAUCGCCUUUGGAUGGGCCCGCGUUGGAUUAGCUAGUUGGUGGGGUAAAGGCCUACCAAGGCGACGAUCCAUAGCUGGUCUGAGAGGAUGAUCAGCCACACUGGGACUGAGACACGGCCCAGACUCCUACGGGAGGCAGCAGUGGGGAAUAUUGGACAAUGGGCGAAAGCCUGAUCCAGCAAUGCCGCGUGAGUGAUGAAGGCCUUAGGGUUGUAAAGCUCUUUUACCCGGGAUGAUAAUGACAGUACCGGGAGAAUAAGCCCCGGCUAACUCCGCG